ensembl:lncRNA
GUGACUGUGGGGCUCUAGGGCAGUGGUCCCCAAUUUGGCACCAGGGACCGAUUUCAUUGAAUACAAUUUUUCCGUGGACUAGGGCUCAGGAGAUAGUUUUGGGAUGAUUCAAAUGCAUUACAUUUAUUCUCCAAUUUCUUUCUUUUUCAUUAAAUUGAUUUUUUUUAAAUUUUAUUUAUUUUGGGGUGUGCUGGGUCUUUGUUGCUGCAUGGGUUUUGCUCUAGUUGGAGUGUGUGGCAUUCUCAUUGCAGUGGCUUCUCUUGUUGUGGAGCAAGGGCUCUAGAGCAUGUGGGCUCAGUAGCUUUGGCUCCUGGGCACUAGAGCACAGGCUUAAUAGUUGUGGUGCGUGGGCUUAAUUGGCUCCAUGGCAUGCGGGAUCUUCCCGGAUCAGGGGUAAAACCUGUGUCUUCUGCAUUGGCAGGCAGUUUCUUUUACCACUGAGCUACUGGGGAAGCCCAGUGCACUUUAUUUCUGAUCUAAUGCUGCCGCUGAUCUGACAGGAGGUACCAGUCCAUGGCCCGGAGGUUUUUCCCCCUUACCAUUUCAGCAAAAUUGCUUAAGACCACUAAUGACAUCCACAUUGUUAAUCCAGGGGUCAUUUCUCCUACAUUACCCAUUUGAUAGCUGAUUACUCCUUCCUCCUUGAAAUGCUCUCCACUAGACUUCCAGGACUACAACCAGUGGGGGACAUGCAGUUGUCAAUACUAUGGAUACAGUGUUCCUUUUUUCUCUCCCCUUCAACCUACAACUAAUUAGACAUCUGUAACGAAAGUGCCUCUGCACACACACCAAGACACCUAGAGAUGCACCCAUCUGUGUAUCUGAACGUGGGUGGACUGCACCCUGGAGAAGGCCACACCAAGGGAGUUGCGGUGAAGGUGGCAGCCAGUGGCAUCAGUUUCUCUGGCAGAGCAGGUGGAAAGGGAAAAAGGUGAGUGAACAUCCAGCUGGUGAUGGCGCAGCUGGAGUCCUCAGCAACACCCUGAGUCCUGAAGAGAGACCUCUGUGACUGGGAGGAUGGAAAGGAAAGAAGGCAGCCAAGGACAACUGAAGGUGUGGACUUCCUGCUGUUUGUCCCAGAAUUCCACUGAGACAUGUCCUCCCCACCCUGACCUCUCUCUGCUGGCAUUCCCUUAGUAGAGGACUCCCCUACUGGGCCAUGGGCACACUCAAAGUGCCAAGUGCUUACUGUAUACCUCCCCCACCCCAACUCCAUCACCAUCCUUUUUUUAACACUAGGUUUCUUAUGCAUAUGUGUGUGUGUUCAACCCAACUAUUUUCGACCCCAUGCAUGGACUGUAGCCCAUCAGGCUACUAUGUCUAUGGAAUUUUCCAGGCACAUGCACGUCUUCCCUAUUUAGCACCAGUAGAAUAAAUCAGAAU